rnacentral:rRNA from 1 species
AUGGACCUGGGACGCCUCAACUAUGGGAUCAUUACCCUCAUCCCAAAGGUUCCGGGCGCCUCUGAUAUUCGCCAGUGCCGCCCCAUCACUGUGAUUAACGUGAUUUUCCGGAUCCUGGCCAAAGGGUACGCCAAUAGGGUGACCCUGCUGGCUAACUCGAUCACUCACCCGAACCAAUCGGCCUUCAUCCAAGGCCGGUUUAUUCUUGAUGGCGUGUUGGUCUUCCAUGAAGUCCUCCACGAAGUUCGGGUGAAGCAUCUUCGUGUUGUUUUCCUGAAGCUUGACUUCCAUAAAGCCUAUGAUACUGUCCACUGGCCUUUCCUUCGGGAAGUGCUGCUGCGUAAGGGCUUUGAUGACCGCUGGGUGACCCGUGUGAUGCAAUUAGUUUCUUGUGGGCGGACUGCAGUGAACAUCAAUGGAGAGAUUGGGCCAUACUUCCCAACCCUCUGUGGGGUCCGUCAGGGAGACCCUUUCUCGCCGUUCCUGUUCAACAUGGUGGUCGAUGCCCUGGCCGCCAUCCUGGAUAAGGCUAAGGGUGCUGGCCAUAUCCACGGCAUUGUCCCCCACCUAGUUGGAGGGGGAGGGGUUUCCCUCCUGCAAUAUGCGGACGACACCAUAAUAAUGGUGGAAGGUUCAACUCAGGACGUGGCUAACCUGAAGUUCCUCCUCCUGUGCUUCCAGCAGUUGUCGGGCCUAACGAUUAACUUCGAUAAGAGCAAGGUGAUGGUCCUUGGCUACCCUCCGGUGGAGGCUUAG